UAGGUGCUGUUGUAGGCCCUCCUUGGUUGGGGACAGAUCUAGGUAUUGUUGUAGGCCCUCCUUGGUUGGGGACAGAUCUAGGUAUUGUUGUAGGCCCUCCUUGGUUGGGGACAGAUCUAGGUAUUGUUGUAGGCCCUCCUUGGUUGGGGACAGAUCUAGGUAUUGUUGUAGGCCCUCCUUGGUUGGGGACAGAUCUAGGUAUUGUUGUAGGCCCUCCUUGGUUGGGGACAGAUCUAGGUAUUGUUGUAGGCCCUCCUUGGUUGGGGACAGAUCUAGGUAUUGUUGUAGGCCCUCCUUGGUUGGGGACAGAUCUAGGUAUUGUUGUAGGCCCUCCUUGGUUGGGGACAGAUCUAGGUAUUGUUGUAGGCCCUCCUUGGUUGGGGACAGAUCUAGGUAUUGUUGUAGGCCCUCCUUGGUUGGGGACAGAUCUAGGUAUUGUUGUAGGCCCUCCUUGGUUGGGGACAGAUCUAGGUAUUG